AGAGUUUGAUCCUGGCUCAGGAUGAAUGCUGGCGGCGUGCCUAACACAUGCAAGUCGAGCGGCAGCGAGGGGUGCUUGCACCCUGUCGGCGAGCGGCGGACGGCUGAGUAACGCGUGGGAAUUUGCCCCAAAGUGAGGAAUAACUGCCCGAAAGGGUGGCUAAUGCCGCAUAUGAUCUUCGGAUUAAAGGAUUUAUCCGCUUUGGGAGAAGCCCGCGUCGGAUUAGGUAGUUGGUAGGGUAAUGGCCUACCAAGCCAACGAUCUAUAGCUGGUCUGAGAGGAUGAUCAGCCAGACUGGAACUGAGACACGGUCCAGACUCCUACGGGAGGCAGCAGUGAGGAAUCUUCCACAAUGGGCGAAAGCCUGAUGGAGCAACGCCGCGUGAAGGAUGAAGGCCUUCGGGUUGUAAACUUCUUUUAUGAGUGAAGAAUAUGACGGUAACUCAUGAAUAAGCACCGGCUAACUACGUGCCAGCAGCCGCGGUCAUACGUAGGGUGCAAGCAUUAUCCGGAGUGACUGGGCGUAAAGAGUUGCGUAGGCGGUUUAAUAAGUGAAUAGUGAAACCUGGUGGCUCAACCAUACAGACUAUUAUUCAAACUGUUAAACUCGAGAAUGGUAGAGGUAACUGGAAUUUCUAGUGUAGGAGUGAAAUCCGUAGAUAUUAGAAGGAACACCAAUGGCGUAGGCAGGUUACUGGACCAUUUCUGACGCUAAGGCACGAAAGCGUGGGGAGCGAACCGGAUUAGAUACCCGGGUAGUCCACGCCGUAAACGAUGGAUACUAGCUGUUGGAGGUAUCGACCCCUUCAGUAGCGAAGCUAACGCGUUAAGUAUCCCGCCUGUGGAGUACGGCCGCAAGGCUAAAACAUAAAGGAAUUGACGGGGACCCGCACAAGCGGUGGAUUAUGUUCUUUAAUUCGAUGAUAAACGAAGAACCUUACCAGGGCUUGACAUCCAGGGAAGGUCUGCGAAAGUAGACUGUGCCUUUUGGAACCCUGUGACAGGUGAUGCAUGGCCGUCGUCAGCUCGUGUCGUGAGAUGUUUGGUUAAGUCCAUCAACGAGCGCAACCCUUGCAACUAGUUGUAUUUUUCUGGUAGGACUGCCCCGGUAACGGGGAGGAAGGAGGGGAUGAUGUCAGGUCAGUAUUUCCCUUACG
rnacentral:rRNA from 1 species